GACGAACGCUGGCGGCGUGCCUAAUACAUGCGAGUAGAACGCUGAAGGAGGAGCUUGCUCUUCUGGAUGAGUUGCGAACGGGUGAGUAACGCGUAGGUAACCUGCCUGGUAGCGGGGGAUAACUAUUGGAAACGAUAGCUAAUACCGCAUAAGAGUGGAUGUUGCAUGACAUUUACUUAAAAGGUGCAAUUGCAUCACUACCAGAUGGACCUGCGUUGUAUUAGCUAGUUGGUGGGGUAACGGCUUACCAAGGCGACGAUACAUAGCCGACCUGAGAGGGUGAUCGGCCACACUGGGACUGAGACACGGCCCAGACUCCUACGGGAGGCAGCAGUAGGGAAUCUUCGGCAAUGGACGGGAGUCUGACCGAGCAACGCCGCGUGAGUGAAGAAGGUUUUCGGAUCGUAAAGCUCUGUUGUAAGAGAAGAACGAGUGUGAGAGUGGAAAGUUCACACUGUGACGGUAUCUUACCAGAAAGGGACGGCUAACUACGUG
rnacentral:rRNA from 1 species